CUUACUUUUGAACUGUUGAUAGGAUUCCCCUCAGGUGUUUGACCGAAUUUCCCUCCCUCUCAUCGAGCGUGCUUGGGGGAGCGUUGGUAGGUAACGGUGACCAGGCCAAGACAGUAGAGAUGCUCCAGCCAAUCACAGCAGUGCUAUACUCCACCCCUGGCCCCAUCACUGAUGUGCUCUUGGUGUGUCUGAAGAGGGUAUGGAAAGGGAUCAGAGGAUUUGGGUUCGCUCAAGUAUUUGGAUCCCACUUUGCUUUUUCCCCACCAGCUGGAAGCAGGAAAACAAGAUGGCACAUUCCUAGCAAGGGCCCAGUGUCCCUUCAGUUGACCCUGGUGGAGACCAACCACACCACCUUUGAGGACCCCUCUCCUGGAACAGUGGCUAAAUCGGAACCAUCCCAAAUCAAGGCAGGGCGGCUGUGGAAUGCUCAUUUGAGGCAUUAA
rnacentral:lncRNA from 1 species